AUUGAACGCUGGCGGCAUGCCUUACACAUGCAAGUCGAACGGCAGCAUAGGAGCUUGCUCCUGAUGGCGAGUGGCGAACGGGUGAGUAAUAUAUCGGAACGUGCCCUAGAGUGGGGGAUAACUAGUCGAAAGACUAGCUAAUACCGCAUACGAUCUACGGAUGAAAGUGGGGGAUCGCAAGACCUCAUGCUCCUGGAGCGGCCGAUAUCUGAUUAGCGAGUUGGUGGGGUAAAAGAUCACCAAGGCGACGAUCAGUAGCUGGUCUGAGAGGACGACCAGCCACACUGGGACUGAGACACGGCCCAGACUCCUACGGGAGGCAGCAGUGGGGAAUUUUGGACAAUGGGCGGAAGCCUGAUCCAGCCAUGCCGCGUGAGUGAAGAAGGCCUUCGGGUUGUAAAGCUCUGUUGUCAGGGAAGAAAUAGUCUGGGUCAAUACCCUGGGCGGAUGACGGUACCUGAAGAAUAAGCACCGGCUAACUACGUGCCAGCCGCCGCAGUAA
rnacentral:rRNA from 1 species